UUUAACUGAAGAGUUUGAUCAUGGCUCAGAUUGAAAGCUGGCGGCAGGCUUAACACAUGCAAGUCGAGCGGGGGAAGGUAGCUUGCUACUGGACCUAGCGGCGGACGGGUGAGUAAUGCUUAGGAAU
rnacentral:rRNA from 1 species